CCCCAAGGUCCCCCCUCUUCCCCACCAGAGCAGCCUUAUUGCCUAAGUCACCCGCAUGCCAGGAAAUCACGAGGAUAUCCAAACACAUUAAGGCACAAAUGUGAAUACAACGCAAGAGACUCCAAGUUCAGAAACAGUCAAACUGAGGGGGCGCAGCAAAGGCAAUGGCACCAAGGGAAGUUUUGGAAAGCUCCAGAAGGUGCCUCAGUCAAUCGGGUUUACUGCGGUUUACUCUUCCUUCGACAGAUUGAGUUGAAUGGUGUAUUCAGUGUCUGCAACAAAUUACCACAACGUGGGUGCCCUCAAGGAACAGACACGUUCCGUGUCAUGGUUCUGGAGGCCUGAAGUCCGAGAUCAAGGUGGCGCUGUGGGUUCCCUGUGAGGCACGGAAAGUUCUCCUGGUUGCCAGCGCUCCCUGGUGGUUCUUGGCUUGUAGAGGCAUCCCAGGGAUCUCUGUCCCCAUCAUCACAAAGCCUUCUCCCUGGUCGUUUGGUCCAAGUUCCCCUCGUAUAAGGACACCAGUCAUUGGCUCAGGGCCACGAGUCCAGUAUGACUUCAUCUUAACCUGACUGCGUCCACAAAGACCUUCCUUCCAAAUUAGGUCACGCUGGCAGGUUCCAGGGAUAGGGCUUGUACAUUUCAGGUAAGCUUUUUGUUGGAUGCAAUCAACCUAUAACAGAUGGGUAGUUCCAUCCCCCCCCACCCCAUAUAUGAGUUUAAAGAAACAUUUCCUUUUAAGUAGAGCUCAUCUGGGUCCCCCACAUUUUAGUGUGCAGUAACUGCAGGACAAAUCACUUCUAGGUAUUUCCAGUAGCUCUCAUUUUCUACCAUGUUCUUAUCUUGAGCUGUAACAAAGAACUUAAGGUAAAACUGAUCAAAAAUGUCAAAGAACGACAUUACAUUCUAGCACAACGAAUGCUCUAUUAACAUAAGCGUUAGCACAAAGGCACCUCAUUCCAUCAUGAAAUAUACCAGCUGCUCAAAAUCCAUGGGAAGUGGGUAAAUCCACACUGUUGCAGGUUUUAACACCUGUUGCUCAGACACUAAGAAAUCAAUUGCAAACUAAACAG
rnacentral:lncRNA from 1 species